AUUCCGCGAAUCAUCGAGUCUUUGAACGCAACUUGCGCCCGAGGCUUGACCAAGGGCAUUUCUGCCAGAGCGUCACC
rnacentral:rRNA from 1 species